rnacentral:rRNA from 1 species
UAGCAUAUCAAUAAGCGGAGGAAAAGAAACCAACAGGGAUUGCCCUAGUAACGGCGAGUGAAGCGGCAACAGCUCAAAUUUGAAAUCUGGCCUCGGCCCGAGUUGUAAUUUGCAGAGGAAGCUUUAGGCGCGGCACCUUCUGAGUCCCCUGGAACGGGGCGCCAUAGAGGGUGAGAGCCCCGUAUAGUUGGAUGCCUAGCCUGUGUAAAGCUCCUUCGACGAGUCGAGUAGUUUGGGAAUGCUGCUCAAAAUGGGAGGUAAAUUUCUUCUAAAGCUAAAUACCGGCCAGAGACCGAUAGCGCACAAGUAGAGUGAUCGAAAGAUGAAAAGCACUUUGAAAAGAGGGUUAAAUAGCACGUGAAAUUGUUGAAAGGGAAGCGCUUGUGACCAGACUUGCGCCGGGCUGAUCAUCCGGUGUUCUCACCGGUGCACUCUGCCCGGCUCAGGCCAGCAUCGGUUCUCGCGGGGGGAUAAAGGCCCAGGGAACGUAGCUCCUCCGGGAGUGUUAUAGCCCUGGGUGCAAUGCCCUCGCGGGGACCGAGGUUCGCGCAUCUGCAAGGAUGCUGGCGUAAUGGUCACCAGCGACCCGUCUUGAAACACGGACCAAGGAGUCAAGGUUUUGCGCGAGUGUUUGGGUGUAAAACCCGCACGCGUAAUGAAAGUGAACGUAGGUGAGAGCUUCGGCGCAUCAUCGACCGAUCCUGAUGUUUUCGGAUGGAUUUGAGUAGGAGCGUUAAGCCUUGGACCCGAAAGAUGGUGAACUAUGCUUGGAUAGGGUGAAGCCAGAGGAAACUCUGGUGGAGGCUCGCAGCGGUUCUGACGUGCAAAUCGAUCGUCAAAUCUGAGCAUGGGGGGCGAAAGACUAAUCGAACCAUCUAGUAGCUGGUUACCGCCGA